rnacentral:rRNA from 1 species
AACGAACGCUGGCGGCAGGCCUAACACAUGCAAGUCGAGCGAGGACUUCGGUCCUAGCGGCGGACGGGUGGGUAACGCGGGGGAACGUGCCCUUUGCUUCGGAAUAGCCCUGGGAAACUGGGAGUAAUACCGGAUGGGCCCUUUGGGGGAAAGAUUUAUCGGCGAAGGAUCGGCCCGCGUCGGUUUAGGUUGUUGGUGGGGUAGUGGCCUACCAAGCGGACGAUCCAUCGCUGGUUGGAGAGGAUGAUCGGCCACACUGGGAGUGAGAUACGGCCCAGACGCCUCUGGGAGGGAGCAGGGGGGAAGGUUACACAAGGGGCGGAAGCAUGAUUCAGCAACGCCGCGCGCGGGAUGACGGCAUUCGGGUUGUAUAGCAAAUUCGCAUGAGACGAAGAGUGAGUGACGGUAAUGGGUAAAGAAGCCCCGGCUAACUACGUG